AGCAGCCGCGGUAAUUCCAGCUCCAAUAGCGUAUAUUAAAGUUGUUGCAGUUAAAAAGCUCGUAGUUGAAUUUCGGGAUCAAGGCGUCGGUCGUGCUUCGGUACGUACUGGCGUCAUUGAUUUCUCCCUUCUGACGAACCAUGAUGCCAUUAACUUGGUGUUAUGGGAAAUCAGGACUGUUACUUUGAAAAAAUUAGAGUGUUUAAAGCAGGCUAACGCUUGAAUACAUUAGCAUGGAAUAAUGAAAUAGGACGUUCGAUCCUAUUUUGUUGGUUUCUAGGAUUGACGUAAUGAUUAAUAGGGAUAGUUGGGGGCAUUAGUACUCAAUUGUCAGAGGUGAAAUUCUUGGAUUUAUUGAAGACUAACUACUGCGAAAGCAUUUGCCAAGGAUGUUUUCAUUAAUCAAGAACGAAAGUUAGGGGAUCGAAGACGAUCAGAUACCGUCGUAGUCUUUAACCAUAAACUAUGCCGACUAGGGAUCGGAUGAUGUUAAUUUUUAAUACGAUCAUUCGGNGCCUUA
rnacentral:rRNA from 1 species